rnacentral:misc_RNA from 1 species
CGACCCUCAAGCACGGCUUGGUGUUGGGCGCGGUCCUGCAGGACCGGCCCGUAACCCGUAGGCGGCCGCCGCCCGCGCCCCCAGCGUAGCAAGCUCACGCGUUCGCUCGGGGACGGCGCGUCUGGCCCGCCCGAAAAUCUUUCCAAG